rnacentral:rRNA from 1 species
AUGCCUUUUUCAUUUCGAAUUUUUUCUUUUCGCUUUCUCGCCCCCUCGUCUCUUCCCCUUCCUAUUUUUCCAGCGGCGGAUACCUCGGUUGGUGGUCAGGCGUCCAGCGCUCUCCCAUCAGUUGCGCCGCCGCAUCUCCCGGCCGAGGUUUCUUACCUUGACCAUGUGCACUCUGGGUUGAAUUAUCUUCCUGACAGCAAGCCUAGAAUUCUGGUAUGGAGAGGUAACAAAGUUAAGGAUUUCUCGGAAUUACAUAAGAGCAACAGUCGUUCGUAUGGCAAGAGGCCGUUGAAGCGUUUAUCACCAUCAGUUUACGCACAGAAGUCUUGUGAAAAGUUUUCAUGUUCAGUAACAAGUGGUGCAGCUACCUAUAGUAUCCCCUUUGCCAAUAAGAUUUCAACAUCAGAAGUUCAUGCUCCAGCUGUUGAUAAUGUCUCUUUUGCCUGUAAAGUUGAAACGGCUUAUGCUUCACGGUUUGGAAAUGAGGUAAGCUUUUUUCUUGCCUUUUUUGCUGUUUUCUCCUCCUUUUUUGUAUAUCAUUUUUUCUGUGCCUCAGACUUUUCAAGAUUGGUCGGGGUCCCUUGUUUCAAGAUUUAUACUGGAUUUACAGUGUCCAGUGUAAUUCUAAGUGGAUUUACACUGUAA